AUUGAACGCUGGCGGCAGGCUUAACACAUGCAAGUCGAGCGGGGGAAGGUAGCUUGCUACCGGACCUAGCGGCGGACGGGUGAGUAAUGCUUAGAAAUCUGCCUAUUAGUGGGGACAACAUCUCGAAAGGGAUGCUAAUACCGCAUACGUCCUACGGGAGAAAGCAGGGGAUCUUCGGACCUUGCGCUAAUAGAUGAGCCUAAGUCGGAUUAGCUAGUUGGUGGGGUAAAGGCCUACCAAGGCGACGAUCUGUAGCGGGUCUGAGAGGAUGAUCCGCCACACUGGGACUGAGACACGGCCCAGACUCCUACGGGAGGCAGCAGUGGGGAAUAUUGGACAAUGGGGGGAACCCUGAUCCAGCCAUGCCGCGUGUGUGAAGAAGGCCUUAUGGUUGUAAAGCACUUUAAGCGAGGAGGAGGCUACUUUAGUUAAUACCUAGAGAUAGUGGACGUUACUCGCAGAAUAAGCACCGGCUAACUCUGUGCCAGCCGCCGCAGUAA
rnacentral:rRNA from 1 species